GAAUGGCACCACGAGGGUUAUGCUGUCUCCUUUUUCUAAUCAAUGAAACUAAUCUCCCCGUGAAGAAGCGGGGAUCAUAAUAUAAGACGAGAAGACCCUAUGGAGCUUUAAACUAUAUAGCACCAGCUUAUGUAUUCAAAAAUUUCAGAAUCAUAACAAUAACUCUAGCUCCCAUGACUACUAGUUUUAGAUUGGGGUGAUCGCGGAGUAAAAAUUAACCUCCACAUUGAACGGGGUAUGACCCCCUGAGCAAAAAGCUACAACUUUAAGCACCAAUAAAUUAACAUUAAUUGACCCAAUAUUUUGAUCAACGAACCAAGUUACCCUAGGGAUAACAGCGCAAUCCACUUAAAGAGCCCCUAUCGACAAGUGG
rnacentral:rRNA from 1 species